UUUUUGACUGAAUACAUGUUUGUUUUAUUUGUCUAUAUCCUAGAUUUGCAGCUGGACACAUCCUUCUACACUGUAUGCAAACAUGCAACAUCAUUACACACAGUACAAGGAGUCAGACUGGCAUAUGAGGAGCAAAGGAACCCACGCAGUAGCAUCGUUUCACAAUGUUUCCAUCACCAUCAUCAGUGGAUGCCUUUGCCGUCCGUAGCCUGAGAUUUCAGAUUUGCAGCAAAAAAAUUUGAUUUUCUCAUUUAUUGGAAUGCUAUGCAGGUUGUACCUUGCAGCCAUCCAUUACAAUGUCACCAAGCCGUAACAAAAGCAGGAGAGGGAAAGUACAAGGCUAUGUUCCCAAAACACAAAUGACAUACCUUAUGUGGAUGAUGUGAUCAGGCUUGUGUUUGCUGAGGUAUUUGAAGAUAAGCUGAAGGAAACCCCGAUUCCAAUGGACCUGGCAUCACAGUUUGAGAGACUUUCAAAGGAGGACGUGAUUGCAUGCCAUCUUCAGUGCAGGGGUCGUCAGA